CAAUUUAUCAAUAUUACCAAAAAUAAAUCAAAAUCACCUAUUAUCAAAAAUCCAGAUGAAUAUAAUUUCUCUGCUAUUAUCAAAAGAGUAAGUGAUCAACAUACUUCUCAAAAAGAACCUACAAUCUCUGAUCUCAAAAAAGAGAUCAAAGAAAUAAAAUCCGAAAUAGUACAAUUGAAAGGAAGAAUUCAAAUAUUAGAAUUACAACAAAUGUCUCAACAAGAUUCUGAGACAGAUGAAAUAGAAUUCAAUGAUUUGAUAACAGAUAACCCAAUAGAAACCACUGGUCCCAUCGAGACUAGUGAAAUACCAACAAUACCAAUUCCUUCAGUUAAUUUGAU
rnacentral:lncRNA from 1 species